AGGGUUUCGUCGGCGGCGGGCGAUUUCGUGGGCGCAGUGAGCGGCGUGCGAGGGAGUAGGCGCUGAGUUCGUCGACGGAGCGCGAGUGCGCGCUAGAAGGAGGCGUGCUCGUCGGCGAACGGCGGGCCGCACGGCUGUGCGGCAAGCUCUGUGUCAAGGAGCAAGAAGAUCGGUUGUCCAUGGCGUCCUACCUGACCUCCGCCUCCACCUCGCGCCCCACCCCGCCCAUUCUCCUCCAGUAGCACCACAUCCGUCUCCCCUUCCACUAAAACAGCCUCUCCUGAAUUCUCCAGCCCGAACAUCCUUUGCUCUGCGCUGCCUCCUCUCCUCCGCCCCGCUCCGGGCCUCCAUCGGCGGCGCCUAGGAGGAGGAGUCAGACAAGGGAGCGGGAGUCCUUGUGGGAGAGGACUCAGCGGCGUUCCGUCUCAGCGACCAGCGCGUGAUGUCCUUGGCCUAUUUCAGUGGAAUCACCGCCGUGGUGUUCUAUGGGCUCAACAUGCUCGGGACCAGCUUCCACAAUGCUCCAUCUCUGACAGACACGAGACAAGCUUGAAUUCUUGGGACGAAAAAUUGACAAGAGACACAUACGAGUUCUUAUUUGUGUUUAAAGUUGAUGCAGUAGCAGGGAACCAUCCACUGCCUCGUCCGAAAACUUGUCAGCAGAUUAAUUUGACGUGAAGAAGUGCACGGGGCCUUAUCAUGAUCAACAUAGCAAAUUUUGUCCCUAUCUCGAACGCUACGACACUAUGUUCAAAGUCAACAAUGUACAAAUGCAGAUUAGAUAGAUACUUUUGUGUUCGAGAACUACUAGUAGUUGCACCUUGAAAUUCAAUACCAUGUUAAUCAUUCGUUGCGCAAACUGUAUCGCUGAAUUUCUUUUAAACAUGUUGGGAACAUGGGAGGCUGAAGUUUGUAAUCAAAUAAUCGGGUAUCUUUUGCUACACUUACAUGAGGCCAGUGUACAAAUGUAUAUGCAACUUCAUCUUACUAGUUGACCCCAGGUAUGCUACUUACUUGUAACCCUCAGUAUAACUUCUUAGUUGCCUUUUGACCUUCCAGGUUUGUUGUAUUUUUUCA